GUGUCUGUAGCCUAGAUGGUAUGUGCAGCACUCUAGUAAAGAGCUCUACCAAGGUUGUGAGUUCAAGUCUCACCAGACACA
rnacentral:tRNA from 1 species